GUGGGGAAUAUUGGACAAUGGGCGCAAGCCUGAUCCAGCCAUGCCGCGUGUGUGAAGAAGGCCUUUUGGUUGUAAAGCACUUUAAGCGAGGAGGAGGCUACCGAGAUUAAUACUCUUGGAUAGUGGACGUUACUCGCAGAAUAAGCACCGGCUAACUCUGUGCCAGCAGCCGCGGUAAUACAGAGGGUGCAAGCGUUAAUCGGAUUUACUGGGCGUAAAGCGCGCGUAGGUGGCCAAUUAAGUCAAAUGUGAAAUCCCCGAGCUUAACUUGGGAAUUGCAUUCGAUACUGGUUGGCUAGAGUAUGGGAGAGGAUGGUAGAAUUCCAGGUGUAGCGGUGAAAUGCGUAGAGAUCUGGAGGAAUACCGAUGGCGAAGGCAGCCAUCUGGCCUAAUACUGACACUGAGGUGCGAAAGCAUGGGGAGCAAACAGGAUUAGAUACCCGAGUAGUCC
rnacentral:rRNA from 1 species